rnacentral:rRNA from 1 species
AACGUAGGAGGCGAGCGUUAUCCGGAUUUACUGGGCGUAAAGCGCGUGCAGGCAGUUGGACAAGUCGUGCGUGAAAGCUCCCAGGCUUAACCGGGAGAGGUCGUGCGAAACUGCUCAACUAGAGACAGACAGAGGCAAGUAGAAUUCCGGGUGUAGUGGUGAAAUGCGUAGAGAUCCGGAGGAAUACCAGUGGCGAAGGCGACUUGCUGGGUCUGGACUGACGCUCAGACGCGACAGCAUGGGGAGCGAACGGG